rnacentral:rRNA from 1 species
GGGAAUAUUGGACAAUGGGCGCAAGCCUGAUCCAGCAAUGCCGCGUGUGUGAAGAAGGUCUUCGGAUUGUAAAGCACUUUUGGCAGGGACGAUGAUGACGGUACCUGCAGAAUAAGCCCCGGCUAACUUCGUGCCAGCAGCCGCGGUAAUACGAAGGGGGCUAGCGUUGCUCGGAAUGACUGGGCGUAAAGGGCGCGUAGGCGGCUUGCACAGUCAGAUGUGAAAUUCCUGGGCUCAACCUGGGGACUGCAUUUGAUACGUGUGGGCUUGAGUGGAGAAGAGGGUCGUGGAAUUUCCAGUGUAGAGGUGAAAUUCGUAGAUAUUGGAAAGAACACCGGUGGCGAAGGCGGCGACCUGGUCUUUAACUGACGCUGAGGCGCGAAAGCGUGGGGAGCAAACA